rnacentral:rRNA from 1 species
UACGUAGGGUGCAAGCGUUGUCCGGAAUUAUUGGGCGUAAAGAGCUCGUAGGCGGUCUGUUGCGUCGGCUGUGAAAACCCGGGGCUCAACCCCGGGCCUGCAGCCGAUACGGGCAGACUAGAGUUCGGCAGGGGAGACUGGAAAUUCCUGGUGUAGCGGUGAAAUGCGCAGAUAUCAGGAGGAACACCGGUGGCGAAGGCGGGUCUCUGGGCCGAUACUGACGCUGAGGAGCGAAAGCGUGGGGAGCGAACAGG